rnacentral:rRNA from 1 species
AGUCAAGCUACUAAGGGCGUAGAGUGGAUGCCUUGGUGUCAGUAGGCGAUGAAGGGCGCGACAGGCUGCGAUAUGUUGCGAGAAGGUGCCAAUAACCUUUGACUCGCAAAUUCCCGAAUGAGGCAACUCGGCAGGUUAAUACCCUGUCAUCCAUACAUGAAUUCAUAGUGUAUGGAAGCGAACCCGGGGAAGUGAAACAUCUCAGUACCCGGAGGAAAAUAAACAGACAUUGACAUUCCCGAAGUAGUGGCGAGCGAACCGGGAACAGCCUAAAUCGUUUAUGUGUAAGGUUGCAGUCGUUGCAUAAACGACGUUAUAGGACUGACAGACACUGCUGCAACGGUGUCAUGGAGUUACAAAAUUUUUUCCUAUUUGAAAGAUCUGGAAAGGUCUGCCAAAGAGGGUGAAAGCCCCGUAAAGGACAGGAAAGAAUCUCCAGUCAGUAUCCUGAGUAACACGGGACACGUGAAAUCCUGUGUGAAUUCGCCGGGACCACCCGGCAAGGCUAAAUACUAACUGACAACCGAUAGUGAACAAGUACCGUAAGGGAAAGGUGAAAAGAACCCCCAUUAGGGGAGUGAAAUAGUAUCUGAAACUCUAUGCUUACAAGCGAGAGAAGGACUAUGAUGGUUUUAUAUAUGCCUUCGGGUAUAUAUGGAGCUAUCAGUCUUACUCUGUGCCUUUUGCUUAAUGAGCCUGCGACUUACUGGAUGCGGCUAGGUUAAGUUGUUUCUCAACGGAGCCGUAGUGAAAGCGAGCGCGAAAGCGCGAAUGAGUCGUAUUCAGUAGACCCGAAGCCAGAAGAUCUAAGCGUGGCCAGGAUGAAGUCAGGGUAACACCUGAUGGAGGUCCGAACUAGUGGUUGUUGCAAAAACCUUGGAUGAGCUGCGUUUAGGAGUGAAAAGCUAAUCGAUUCUGGUUAUAGCUGGUUCUCCUCGAAAUAGCUCUAGGGCUAGCCUCAUGAAACUCUGUAAUGGAGGUAGAGCACUGGAUAGACUAGGGACGAUAACCUCGUUACCAAACCUAACCAAACUCCGAAUGCCAUUACAUCUAUCAUGGGAGUCAGAGUGUGAGGGAUAAGCUUCAUGCUCAAAAGGAAAAUAGUCCAGACCUUCAGCUAAGGUCCCUAAAUAUUAUCUAAGUGGUAAAGGAUGUAAAGUCGCUAAGACAGCCAGGAUGUUUGCUUAGAAGCAGCAAUCAUUUAAAGAGUGCGUAAUAGCUCACUGGUCAAGUGAUUUUGCGCCUACAAUACAACGGGGCUAAAGAUAGUUACCGAAGCUAAGGGAUGUAUCCGUUAAGGAUACCAUCGGUAGAGGAGCGUUCCAGUGUAGGACUGAAGCGGGACCGUGAGGACCCGUCGACGAACUGGAAGUGAAGAUGCAGGUACAAGUAGCGUACCGAAUUUGGAUGAAAAAUCCAAAGGCCGUAAGUCUAAGGUUUCCUUGAGCUAGGUUAAUCCGCUCAGGGUUAGUCGGGACCUAAGCCGAGGCUGAAAUGCGUAGGCGAUGGACGUGCAGUCAACAUUCUGCAACUACCUUACAUACGUUAUCACGAUGGGGUGACGCAGCAGGAUAGAUUAGCCUGAUUAUGGAUUUCAGGUCUAAACUCUCAGGGUGUUAUCCAGGCAAAUCCGGAUGACAUUAAGCCCGAAGGGUGAUGGGGACUCUCGUAAGAGAGGAACUAAUUGAUUCCACACUGUCAGGAAAAACCUCUAAGGAGUGUGUAGGGUACCCGUACCGCAAACCGACGCUGGUAGACUGGUAGAAUAUACCAAGGCCAUCGGGAGAACUCCUCCAAAGGAACUCGGCAAAUUAACCCCGUAACUUCGGGAGAAGGGGUGCCCUAGUAAGGUGAAACCUGUAUAGGUGUAGCCAGAACGGGCCGCAGUGAAGAAUCCCAGGCGACUGUUUAACAAAAACACAGGACUCUGCGAACACGAAAGUGGAAGUAUAGGGUCUGACGCCUGCCCGGUGCUGGAAGGUUAAGCGGAGAUGUCAGUCUGUAGCAAUACAGAGGAAGCAUCGAUUCGAAGCCCCAGUAAACGGCGGCCGUAACUAUAACGGUCCUAAGGUAGCGAAAUUCCUUGUCGGGUAAAUUCCGACCUGCACGAAUGGCGUAACGAUCUGGGAACUGUCUCUGGAGGAGACUCGGCGAAAAUGUAGUAGCGGUGAAGAUGCCGCUUACCUGCAGCGGGACGACAAGACCCCAUGAAGCUUUACUAUACCUUGACAUUGAAUUUUGAUUAUGUAUGUGUAGGAUAGGUGGGAGGCUAUGAAGCCCGGGCGCUAGCCUGGGCAGAGCCGUCGGUGAAAUACCACUCUUACAUUAUUGGAAUUCUAACUCCGACCAGUUAUCCUGGCGGGAGACAGUGUCUGGCGGGUAGUUUGACUGGGGCGGUCGCCUCCAAAAGUGUAACGGAGGCGCCCUAAGGUACCCUCAGCGCGGUCGGUAAUCGCGCUAACGAGUGCAUAGGCAUAAGGGUGCUUAACUGCGAGACACACACGUCGAGCAGAUGCGAAAGCAGGGCUAAGUGAUCCGGUGGUGCCGUGUGGAAGGGCCAUCGCUCAGCGGAUAAAAGCUACUCUGGGGAUAACAGGCUGAUCUUGCCCGAGAGUUCACAUCGACGGCAAGGUUUGGCACCUCGAUGUCGGCUCAUCACAUCCUGGGGGUGAAGAAGCUCCCAAGGGCUCGGCUGUUCGCCGAUUAAAGUGGUACGUGAGCUGGGUUCAGAACGUCGUGAGACAGUUCGGUCUCUACCUGCUGUGGGCGCAAGAGAUUUGAAGGGAUCCAUUCCUAGUACGAGAGGACCGGAAUGGACAGACCUCUGGUGAGCGAGUUGUCACGCCAGUGGCAUAGCUCGGUAUCUAUGUCUGGAAAGGAUAAACGCUGAAAGCAUCUAAGCGUGAAACCAACCCUGAGAUUAGAUCUCUCUCCGCAAGGACUAAAGGCUCCUCGUAGACGACGAGGUUGAUAGGCUGGGUGUGUAAGGUCUGUAAGGACUUUAGCUUACCAGUACUAAUAAGCCGUGCGGCUUGACUAC